UCAUCUUCUGGAAGAGCUUUUCAGUUUCUCUUCGUCUCUGGGCGCCUGUCCGUCUCUCCCGCCCCUCCGCCGCUGCGCUUCCGCUCCGCCUGCCGUCGCCGUGUCGCCUCCGCUCGUUCGCCGUCUAACUCCCGCCUUCGCCUCCGAAAGCAGCGGCCGUACUUAUGCUUAACGUCGCCCAUCGCACCGGCCACCUCACAGCAGCCGAGCCGAGCUGAGCGACCCCCUCCAGAAAGCAAGACCCUCGCGAGCGCCGAAUUCUCCUGGCAAUGGAAGGGAAAAACUGGAUGAAUCGAAGCAAAGGGCGUUUCCAGCAUGAGUGAGGGCGGACAAUGAGAGCGGCAUUGUUGAACGGCAACAGUUCAAGUCUUUUUCUUAGAAGCAUCGUCGGUGGUGGCAAUUCUCUCGCUUUUGGAAGCCUUUGGAGUCCCCCUAAGGCGCGAAACCCGACUAAAGGAGCAGGGUUCUUGAGUUGCAAAUCGAUGUCGAUGAAUUCGCCGACAGUGCGAGUGAAGGAAAAGAUCGAUCUGACAGAGAA